GACGAACGCUGGCGGCGUGCCUAAUACAUGCAAGUCGAACGCUUUUUCUUUCACCGGAGCUUGCUCCACCGAAAGAAAAAGAGUGGCGAACGGGUGAGUAACACGUGGGUAACCUGCCCAUCAGAAGGGGAUAACACUUGGAAACAGGUGCUAAUACCGUAUAACACUAUUUUCCGCAUGGAAGAAAGUUGAAAGGCGCUUUUGCGUCACUGAUGGAUGGACCCGCGGUGCAUUAGCUAGUUGGUGAGGUAACGGCUCACCAAGGCAACGAUGCAUAGCCGACCUGAGAGGGUGAUCGGCCACACUGGGACUGAGACACGGCCCAGACUCCUACGGGAGGCAGCAGUAGGGAAUCUCCGGCAAUGGACGAAAGUCUGACCGAGCAAACGCCGCGUGAGUGAAGAAAGGUUUUCGGAUCGUAAAAACU
rnacentral:rRNA from 1 species